AGUCAUAUGCUUGUCUCAAAGACUAAGCCAUGCAUGUCUAAGUAUAAAUGAUAUACAGUGAAACUGCGAAUGGCUCAUUAAAACAGUUAUAGUUUAUUUGGUAAUCGAAUUUACAUGGAUAACCGUGGUAAUUCUAGAGCUAAUACAUGCUGUAAAGCCCGACUUCACGGAAGGGCCGUAUUUAUUAGAUAACAGACCAAUAUUCCUCGUGUCUAUUGUGGUGAAUCAUAGUAACUAAUCGGAUCGCAUGGGCUAGUCCCGCGACAAACCAUUCAAGUUUCUGCCCCAUCAGCUUUCGAUGGUAGUGUAUUGGACUACCAUGGCUUUUACGGGUAACGGAGGAUUAGGGUUCGAUUCCGGAGAGGGAGCCUGAGAAACGGCUACCACAUCUAAGGAAGGCAGCAGGCGCGUAAAUUACCCAAUCCUAAUUCAGGGAGGUAGUGACAAGAAAUAACGGGUCGGGGCUAUGCCCCGGGACUGCAAUGAGAUGAAUUUACACCCCUUUUCGAGUAACAAU
rnacentral:rRNA from 1 species